UACAGAGACUGCAAGCGUUAUUCGGAUUCACUGGGCGUAAAGCGUGCGCAGGCGGUUCGCUGUGUCCGAUGUGAAAGCCCCGGGCUUAACCUGGGAAUGGCAUUGGAAACUGGCGGGCUUGAGUGCAGCAGAGGGGGGUGGAAUUCCGCGUGUAGCAGUGAAAUGCGUAGAGAUGCGGAGGAACACCGAUGGCGAAGGCAGCCCCCUGGGUCGACACUGACGCUCAGGCACGAAAGCGUGGGGAGCAAACAGG
rnacentral:rRNA from 1 species